GGGCUGUGGCUCAGUGGUAUAGCAUCUGCUUUGCAUGCAGAAGGUCUCACGUUCAAUCCCAGCAUCU